rnacentral:rRNA from 1 species
UACGUAGGGUGCAAGCGUUGUCCGGAAUUAUUGGGCGUAAAGAGCUCGUAGGCGGUCUGUUGCGUCGGCUGUGAAAACCCGGGGCUCAACCCCGGGCCUGCAGCCGAUACGGGCAGACUAGAGUUCGGCAGGGGAGACUGGAAUUCCUGGUGUAGCGGCGAAAUGCGCAGAUAUCAGGAGGAACACCGGAGGCGAAAGCGGGUCUCUGGGCCGAUACUGACGCUGAGGAGCGAAAGCGUGGGGAGCAAACAGG